ensembl:lncRNA
AUCUAUGGUCGGCACGUCUGGUAGCAUCUCUGGCUGCUGUUGAUCUUGUUUUUGGAGUAAAACACGGUGGAAGCUGAAUUAGUGAGGAUGACUCCUGCUCCUGUCAUCUCUAAGCUCCUCACACAUCUUUACCUGCACAUGAGGAAAAUCACUCCUGUAGAAUGCAGAUGCACAAUGAGGGACGUCUGCAGAGACUGAGAAAGAGUCUCACCACAUCCUGACAUGAGGAAAAAGACUUUAUUGAAGACUACAAUGAGAAAAACUAUCAGACAGCAGACGGCUGCAUUCAAGAGAGGAAGACCAUCAAACAUCCACGUCAGCUGAUGGAGGUCCAAGAGUCUCACCAAACAAACAACCUACAGAGUGAAGACCUCGAAUCUGAUUGGACGGCCUCCUAUUCAGCCACAUGUGUGAACAAAUGCCUCUAAGCUGAUUUGUUUUCUAAAAUAAAUCUAGUUUGAGUCCAAGAGUCUCACCAAACAAACAACCUACAGAGUGAAGACCUCAAAUCUGAUUGGACGGCCUCCUAUUCAGCCACAUGUGUGAACAAAUGCCUCUAAGUUGAUUUUUUUUUUUAAAUAAAUCUAGUUUGA